rnacentral:rRNA from 1 species
GUGGGGAAUUUUGCGCAAUGGGCGAAAGCCUGACGCAGCGACGCCGCGUGAGGGAUGAAGGUCUUCGUGAUCGUAAACCUCUGUCAGGAAGGAUUAAAUGUACAGGUGCCAAUACCACCUGUGCUUGACUUAACUUCCGGAGGAAGCCCCGGCCAACUACGUGCCAGCAGCCGCGGUAAUACGUAGGGGGCAAGCGUUACUCGGAUUUACUGGGCGUAAAGCGAAUGUAGGCGGUUUUGUAAGUCGGAGGUGAAAGCCCUCAGCUUAACUGAGGAAUUGCCUUCGAUACUACUUAACUUGAGGACAGGAGAGGAAAGUGGAAUUCCCGGUGUAGCGGUGGAAUGCGUAGAUAUCGGGAGGAACACCUGAGGCGAAGGCGGCUUUCUGGACUGUUCCUGACGCUGAGAUUCGAAAGCCAGGGGAGCAAACAGGAUUAGAUACCCGAGUAGUCC